rnacentral:rRNA from 1 species
AGGACGAACGCUGGCGGCGUGCUUAACACAUGCAAGUCGAGCGGAAAGGCCCUUCGGGGUACUCGAGCGGCGAACGGGUGAGUAACACGUGAGUAACCUGCCCCUAGCUCUGGGAUAGCUCCGGGAAACCGGGAUUAAAUACCAGAUACGACCACUUUAGACAUCUGUCGUGGUGGAAAGGAUUCCGGCUAGGGAUGGGCUCGCGGCCUAUCAGCUUGUUGGUGGGUAACGCCUACCAAGGCGACGACGGUA